rnacentral:rRNA from 1 species
AACGAACGCUGGCGGCGCGCCUAACACAUGCAAGUCGAACGAGAAUCCGGGGCAACCCGGUAGUAAAGUGGCAAACGGGUGAGGAAUACAUGGGUAACCUACCCUUGAGAAGGGAAUAACCCGCCGAAAGGUGAGCUAAUACCCUAUACGCUAUCUUUUUUUCGAAAGGAUAGGAAAGCCGGGUCGAGGACCUGGUACUCAAGGAGGGGCUCAUGUCCUAUCAGCUUGUUGGUGGGUAACGGCCUACCAAGGCUACGACGGGUAGCUGGUCUGAGAGGAUGAUCAGCCACACUGGCACUGAGAUACGGGCCAGACUCCUACGGGAGGCAGCAGUGAGGAAUAUUGCGCAAUGGGCGAAAGCCUGACGCAGCGACGCCGCGUGGGCGAUGAAGGCCUCGGUCGUAAGACGUCUGUGGGAGGAG